UUUGUUUUAAGAGCUUGGGCUACUCUGCAA
rnacentral:piRNA from 2 species